GAGUGAGCACAGAUCUUUUAGAAUUUUUCUAACAGGAUUUCUGACCUUGGUCAGAAAACCCAC
ensembl:snRNA Gm25486 predicted gene, 25486